rnacentral:rRNA from 3 species
CCGUCCGAUUUGUGAAGUUAAGCAGCCACAGGCUCAGUUAGUACUGAGGUCAGUGAUGACUCGGGAACCCUGAGUGCCGUACUCUCAAACGCACUC